rnacentral:rRNA from 1 species
AGUGGACGCUGGCGGUAGGCCUAACACAUGCGAGUCGAACGGCAGCACAGUAAGAGCUUGCUCUUACGGGUGGCGAGUGGCGGACGGGUGAGGAAUACAUCGGAAUCUACUUUUUCGUGGGGGAUAACGUAGGGAAACUUACGCUAAUACCGCAUACGACCUACGGGUGAAAGCAGGGGAUCUUCGCACCUUGCGCGAUUGAAUGAGCCGAUGUCGGAUUAGCUAGUUGGCGAGGUAAAGGCCCACCAAGGCGACGAUCCGUAGCUGGUCUGAGAGGAUGAUCGGCCACACUGGAACUGAGACACGGUCCAGACUCCUACGGGAGGCAGCAGUGGGGAAUAUUGGACAAUGGGCGCAAGCCUGAUCCAGCCAUACCGCGUGGGUGAAGAAGGCCUUCGGGUUGUAAAGCCCUGUUGUUGGGAAAGAAAAGCAGCAGGUUAAUACCCCGCUGUUCUGACGGUACCCAAAGAAUAAGCACCGGCUAACUUCGUG